rnacentral:rRNA from 1 species
GACGAACGCUGGCGGCGUGCUUAACACAUGCAAGUCGAACGCUGAAGCUCAGCUUUUGUUGGGUGGAUGAGUGGCGAACGGGUGAGUAACACGUGAGUAACCUGCCUCCUUCUUUGGGAUAACGCCCGGAAACGGGUGCUAAUACUGGAUAUUCACUGGUCUUCGCAUGGGGGUUGGUGGAAAGGGGUUUUCUGGUGGGGGAUGGGCUCGCGGCCUAUCAGCUUGUUGGUGGGGUGAUGGCCUACCAAGGCUUUGACGGGUAGCCGGCCUGAGAGGGUGACCGGUCACAUUGGGACUGAGAUACGGCCCAGACUCCUACGGGAGGCAGCAGUGGGGAAUAUUGCACAAUGGGCGCAAGCCUGAUGCAGCGACGCCGCGUGAGGGAUGGAGGCCUUCGGGUUGUGAACCUCUUUCGCUCAUGGUCAAGCCGCAACAAUGGUUGUGGUGAGGGUAGUGGGUAAAGAAGCGCCGGCUAACUACGUG